UUUUUGUCAAAGACUUGUUUUUAUUUCUCAAAUCAAAGCAAGUACAAGAAGAAGUGAUUCAAAGAUCACAAAGUUUAACAUAAAGCUAAAAGAGACAUUUCCCAAUGCCAAAAUACACAUAGAUAAGGUGAAACGACAUAGAUUCCAUGAGAGCUUUGAAAUAAAGGCGGUAAAGCGUUAUGUCACAUGUGAGAUCAUGGUGUGUCGAAUGGUCGUCGAUGAGCGAAUCGAAGGACGACAAAGAAGUCAUUGUCAGCAGACAAAGUGACGUUGAUGAAGAGGACCAAGAUGGGUUUCUCGCUGGCAUGAGAAUAUAUAAGAGCAUUUUAAUUAGGUCAAAAACCUUAAAACGUUUAGGCUCAUAUCUCAAUGAAGCUACAACAAGUGUUCGCGAGUGAUGAAUGCAAAACUGUAACAUAACAGGCAGAUCCUCUCUCACAUGAAGUCACUAACGUACGUACUGUCAUGGUGUGUUCACUAACAAGCGACAGUUGCAGAGACUAGUGGAGAAGCCACUAACGUACGUACUGUCAUGGUGUGUUCAUUGAAUAAGAAGAUGAUUUGACAUCCGGAAGCACGAUGAAGAUCCUUGAACAGAUUCAACCUCACAACUUAAUACAUUCUCACCCAAGCGAGUAGCU
rnacentral:lncRNA from 1 species